rnacentral:rRNA from 1 species
UACGGGGGGAGCAAGCGUUGUUCGGAUUUACUGGGCGUAAAGGGCGCGUAGGCGGCACCGCAAGUCAGUUGUGAAAUCUCUGGGCUUAACCCAGAAAGGUCAACUGAUACUGCGGGGCUAGAGUGCAGAGGGGGCAACUGGAAUUCUCGGUGUAGCGGUGAAAUGCGUAGAUAUCGAGAGGAACACCUGCGGCGAAGGCGGGUUGCUGGGCUGACACUGACGCUGAUGCGCGAAAGCUAGGGGAGCGAACGGG